GUAUAGCUCAAGUGGUAGAGCGCAUGCCUAGCAUGCAUGAGGGUCUGGGUUCAAUCCCCAGUGC
rnacentral:tRNA from 1 species